rnacentral:rRNA from 1 species
UACGGAGGGUGCGAGCGUUGUUCGGAAUCAUUGGGCGUAAAGGGCGUGUAGGUGGUCUAUUAAGUCAUGUGUGAAAGCCCUCAGCUUAACUGGGGAAGUGCGCAUGAAACUGACAGGCUAGAGUACCGAAGAGGAAGGUGGAAUUCCCGGUGUAGCGGUGAAAUGCGUAGAUAUUGGGAAGAACACCGGUGGCGAAGGCGGCGCUCUGGACCGAGACUGACGCUGAGGCGCGAAGGCGUGGG